UGGGGAAUAUUGCACAAUGGGGGGAACCCUGAUGCAGCGACGCCGCGUGAGGGAAGAAGGUUUUUGGAUUGUAAACCUCUGUCCUUGGUAAAGAAGCAAGACGGUAGCCAAUGAGGAAGCCACGGCUAACUACGGGCACGUCGCCGCGGUAAUACGUAGGUGGCAAGCGUUGUCCGGAAUUACUGGGUGUAAAGGGAGCGUAGGCGGUUAUGCAAGUUGAAUGUGAAAUCUAUCGGCUCAACUGAUAGGCUGCGUUCAAAACUGUAUAUCUUGAGUGAAGUAGAGGCAGGCGGAAUUCCUAGUGUAGCGGUGAAAUGCGUAAAUAUUAGGAGGAACACCAGUGGCGAAGGCGGCCUGCUGGGCUUUAACUGACGCUGAGGCUCGAAAGCGUGGGUAGCAAACAGG
rnacentral:rRNA from 1 species